ACGGGAGGCAGCAGUGGGGGAUAUUACACAAUGGGGGAAACCCUGAUGCAGCGACGCCGCGUGUGGGAAGACGGUCCUCUGGAUUGUAAACCACUGUCCUCAGGGACGAAGAUGACGGUACCUGAGGAGGAAGCUCCGGCUAACUACGUGCCAGCAGCCGCGGUAAUACGUAGGGAGCGAGCGUUGUCCGGAAUUACUGGGUGUAAAGGGAGCGUAGGCGGGGACGCAAGUUGGAUGUGAAAUCUACCGGCUCAACUGGUAGCUGCAUUCAAAACUGCGACUCUUGAGUGGAGUAGAGGCAGGCGGAAUUCCUAGUGUAGCGGUGAAAUGCGUAGAUAUUAGGAGGAACACCAGUGGCGAAGGCGGCCUGCUGGGCUUUUACUGACGCUGAGGCUCGAAAGUGUGGGGAGCAAACAGGAUUAGAUACCCUGGUA
rnacentral:rRNA from 1 species